CGCGUAGGUGGUUCUGUAUGUCUACCGUGAAAGCGUACGGCUCAACCGUAUUUUGUCGGUGGAAACUGCAGGACUUGAGGCUGGGAGGGGCUGGUGGAAUUCCCUGUGUAGCGGUGAAAUGCGUAGAGAUGGGGGAGAACACUCGUGGCGAAGGCGGCCAGCUAGACCAGUUCUGACACUGAGGCGCGACAGCGUGGGGAGCAAACA
rnacentral:rRNA from 1 species